rnacentral:rRNA from 1 species
UUUAUGGAGAGUUUGAUCCUGGCUCAGGAUGAACGCUGGCGGCGUGCCUAAUACAUGCAAGUCGAGCGAACAGAUGAGGAGCUUGCUCCUUUGACGUUAGCGGCGGACGGGUGAGUAACACGUGGGUAACCUACCUAUAAGACUGGAAUAACUCCGGGAAACCGGRGCUAAUGCCGGAUAACAUGUUGAACCGCAUGGUUCAACAGUGAAAGACGGUCUUGCUGUCACUUAUAGAUGGACCCGCGCCGUAUUAGCUAGUUGGUAAGGUAACGGCUUACCAAGGCAACGAUAC